rnacentral:rRNA from 1 species
UAAAAAAAGGUAAGCUACUAAGAGCGAAUGGUGGAUGCCUUGACUGGUAAAGGCGAUGAAGGACGUACUAGACUGCGAUAAGCUACGGGGAGCUGUCAAGAAGCUUUGAUCCGUAGAUUUCCGAAUGGGGCAACCCAAUGUAUAGAGAUAUACAUUACCUAUAUAGGAGCGAACGAGGGGAAUUGAAACAUCUUAGUACCCUCAGGAAAAGAAAUCAAUAGAGAUUGCGUCAGUAGCGGCGAGCGAAAGCGCAAGAGGGCAAACCCAGUGCUUGCACUGGGGGUUGUAGGACUGCAAUGUGCAAGAGGUAAGUUUAGCAGAACAUUCUGGAAAGUAUAACCAUAGAGGGUGAUAGUCCCGUAUGCGAAAAACAAACCUUAGCUAGCAGUAUCCUGAGUAGGGCGGGACACGAGGAAUCCUGUCUGAAUCCGGGUCGACCACGAUCCAACCCUAAAUACUAAUACCAGAUCGAUAGUGCACAAGUACCGUGAGGGAAAGGUGAAAAGAACUGAGGUGAUCAGAGUGAAAUAGAACCUGAAACCAUUUGCUUACAAUCAUUCAGAGCCCUAUGUAGCAAUACAGGGUGAUGGACUGCCUUUUGCAUAAUGAGCCUGCGAGUUGUGGUGUCUGGCAAGGUUAAGCAAACGCGAAGCCGUAGCGAAAGCGAGUCUGAAUAGGGCGCUUAGUCAGAUGCUGCAGACCCGAAACGAAGUGAUCUAUCCAUGAGCAAGUUGAAGCUAGUGUAAGAACUAGUGGAGGACUGAACCCAUAGGCGUUGAAAAGCCCCGGGAUGACUUGUGGAUAGGGGUGAAAGGCCAAUCAAACUUCGUGAUAGCUGGUUCUCUCCGAAAUAUAUUUAGGUAUAGCGUUGUGUCGUAAUAUAAGGGGGUAGAGCACUGAAUGGGCUAGGGCAUACACCAAUGUACCAAACCCUAUCAAACUCCGAAUACCUUAUAUGUAAUCACAGCAGUCAGGCGGCGAGUGAUAAAAUCCGUCGUCAAGAGGGAAACAACCCAGACUACCAGCUAAGGUCCCUAAGUCUUACUUAAGUGGAAAACGAUGUGAAGUUACUUAAACAACCAGGAGGUUGGCUUAGAAGCAGCCAUCCUUUAAAGAAAGCGUAAUAGCUCACUGGUCUAGUGAUUUUGCGCGGAAAAUAUAACGGGGCUAAAGUAAGUACCGAAGCUGUAGACUUAGUUUACUAAGUGGUAGGAGAGCGUUCUAUUUGCGUCGAAGGUAUACCGGUAAGGAGUGCUGGAGCGAAUAGAAGUGAGCAUGCAGGCAUGAGUAGCGAUAAUUAAUGUGAGAAUCAUUAACGCCGUAAACCCAAGGUUUCCUACGCGAUGCUCGUCAUCGUAGGGUUAGUCGGGUCCUAAGUCGAGUCCGAAAGGGGUAGACGAUGGCAAAUUGGUUAAUAUUCCAAUACCAACAUUAGUGUGCGAUGGAAGGACGCUUAGGGCUAAGGGGGCUAGCGGAUGGAAGUGCUAGUCUAAGGUCGUAGGAGGUUGUACAGGCAAAUCCGUAUAACAAUACUCCGAGAACUGAAAGGCUUUUUGAAGUCUUCGGAUGGAUAGAAGAACCCCUGAUGCCGUCGAGCCAAGAAAAGUUUCUAAGUUUAGCUAAUGUUGCCCGUACCGUAAACCGACACAGGUGGGUGGGAUGAGUAUUCUAAGGCGCGUGGAAGAACUCUCUUUAAGGAACUCUGCAAAAUAGCACCGUAUCUUCGGUAUAAGGUGUGGUUAGCUUUGUAUUAGGAUUUACUCCGAAAGCAAGGAAACUUACAACAAAGAGUCCCUCCCGACUGUUUACCAAAAACACAGCACUCUGCUAACUCGUAAGAGGAUGUAUAGGGUGUGACGCCUGCCCGGUGCUCGAAGGUUAAUUGAUGGGGUUAGCAUUAGCGAAGCUCUUGAUCGAAGCCCGAGUAAACGGCGGCCGUAACUAUAACGGUCCUAAGGUAGCGAAAUUCCUUGUCGGUUAAAUACCGACCUGCAUGAAUGGCGUAACGAGAUGGGAGCUGUCUCAAAGAGGGAUCCAGUGAAAUUGUAGUGGAGGUGAAAAUUCCUCCUACCCGCGGCAAGACGGAAAGACCCCGUGGACCUUUACUACAGCUUGACACUGCUACUUGGAUAAGAAUGUGCAGGAUAGGUGGGAGCUUUGAGUAUAUGACGCCAGUUGUAUAUGAGCCAUUGUUGAGAUACCACUCUUUCUUAUUUGGGUAGCUAACCAGCUUGAGUUAUCCUCAAGUGGGACAAUGUCUGGUGGGUAGUUUGACUGGGGCGGUCGCCUCCCAAAUAAUAACGGAGGCUUACAAAGGUUGGCUCAGAACGGUUGGAAAUCGUUCGUAGAGUAUAAAGGUAUAAGCCAGCUUAACUGCAAGACAUACAAGUCAAGCAGAGACGAAAGUCGGUCUUAGUGAUCCGGUGGUUCUGUGUGGAAGGGCCAUCGCUCAAAGGAUAAAAGGUACCCCGGGGAUAACAGGCUGAUCUCCCCCAAGAGCUCACAUCGACGGGGAGGUUUGGCACCUCGAUGUCGGCUCAUCGCAUCCUGGGGCUGGAGCAGGUCCCAAGGGUAUGGCUGUUCGCCAUUUAAAGCGGUACGCGAGCUGGGUUCAGAACGUCGUGAGACAGUUCGGUCCCUAUCUGCCGUGGGCGUAAGAAGAUUGAAGAGAUUUGACCCUAGUACGAGAGGACCGGGUUGAACAAACCACUGGUGUAGCUGUUGUUCUGCCAAGAGCAUCGCAGCGUAGCUAAGUUUGGAAAGGAUAAACGCUGAAAGCAUCUAAGCGUGAAGCCAACUCUAAGAUGAAUCUUCUCUAAGCUCUCUAGAAGACUACUAGUUUGAUAGGCUGGGUGUGUAAUGGAUGAAAGUCCUUUAGCUGACCAGUACUAAUAGAGCGUUUGGCUUAUCUUUAAUAAAGCAU